UUGAACGCUGGCGGCAUGCUUUACACAUGCAAGUCGAACGGCAGCACAGGGAGCUUGCUCCUGGGUGGCGAGUGGCGCACGGGUGAGUAAUACAUCGGAACGUGUCCUAUCGUAGGGGAUAACUGAUCGAAAGAUCAGCUAAUACCGCAUAAGACCUGAGGGUGAAAGUGGGGGAUCGCAAGACCUCACGCGAUUGGAGCGGCCGAUGCCCGAUUAGCUAGUUGGUGAGGUAAAGGCUCACCAAGGCGACGAUCGGUAGCUGGUCUGAGAGGACGACCAGCCACACUGGGACUGAGACACGGCCCAGACUCCUACGGGAGGCAGCAGUGGGGAAUUUUGGACAAUGGGGGCAACCCUGAUCCAGCCAUGCCGCGUGCAGGAUGAAGGUCUUCGGAUUGUAAACUGCUUUUGUCAGGGAAGAAAAGGUCUGUGUUAAUACCAUAGACUGCUGACGGUACCUGAAGAAUAAGCACCGGCUAACUACGUGCCAGCAGCCGCGGUAAUACGUAGAGUGCAAGCGUUAAUCGGAAUUACUGGGCGUAAAGCGUGCGCAGGCGGUUCUGUAAGACAGAUGUGAAAUCCCCGGGCUCAACCUGGGAAUGGCAUUUGUGACUGCAGGACUAGAGUUCAUCAGAGGGGGGUGGAAUUCCAAGUGUAGCAGUGAAAUGCGUAGAUAUUUGGAAGAACACCAAUGGCGAAGGCAGCCCCCUGGGAUGCGACUGACGCUCAUGCACGAAAGCGUGGGGAGCAAACAGG
rnacentral:rRNA from 1 species